rnacentral:tRNA from 1 species
GCCUUGGUGGCGGAACUGGUAGACGCGCUGGAUUCAAAAUCCAGUUCCUUCGGGAGUGAGGGUUCGAUUCCCUCCCAAGGUACAA